GAUGAACGCUGGCGGCGUGCCUAAUACAUGCAAGUCGAGCGAACGGACGAGAAGCUUGCUUCUCUGAUGUUAGCGGCGGACGGGUGAGUAACACGUGGAUAACCUACCUAUAAGACUGGGAUAACUUCGGGAAACCGGAGCUAAUACCGGAUAAUAUUUUGAACCGCAUGGUUCAAAAGUGAAAGACGGUCUUGCUGUCACUUAUAGAUGGAUCCGCGCUGCAUUAGCUAGUUGGUAAGGUAACGGCUUACCAAGGCAACGAUGCAUAGCCGACCUGAGAGGGUGAUCGGCCACACUGGAACUGAGACACGGUCCAGACUCCUACGGGAGGCAGCAGUAGGGAAUCUUCCGCAAUGGGCGAAAGCCUGACGGAGCAACGCCGCGUGAGUGAUGAAGGUCUUCGGAUCGUAAAACUCUGUUAUUAGGGAAGAACAUAUGUGUAAGUAACUGUGCACAUCUUGACGGUACCUAAUCAGAAAGCCACGGCUAACUACGUGCCAGCAGCCGCGGUAAUACGUAGGUGGCAAGCGUUAUCCGGAAUUAUUGGGCGUAAAGCGCGCGUAGGCGGUUUUUUAAGUCUGAUGUGAAAGCCCACGGCUCAACUGUGGAGGGUCAUUGGAAACUGGAAAACUUGAGUGCAGAAGAGGAAAGUGGAAUUCCAUGUGUAGCGGUGAAAUGCGCAGAGAUAUGGAGGAACACCAGUGGCGAAGGCGACUUUCUGGUCUGUAACUGACGCUGAUGUGCGAAAGCGUGGGGAUCAAACAGGAUUAGAUACCCUGGUAGUCCACGCCGUAAACGAUGAGUGCUAAGUGUUAGGGGGUUUCCGCCCCUUAGUGCUGCAGCUAACGCAUUAAGCACUCCGCCUGGGGAGUACGACCGCAAGGUUGAAACUCAAAGGAAUUGACGGGGACCCGCACAAGCGGUGGAGCAUGUGGUUUAAUUCGAAGCAACGCGAAGAACCUUACCAAAUCUUGACAUCCUUUGACAACUCUAGAGAUAGAGCUUUCCCCUUCGGGGGACAAAGUGACAGGUGGUGCAUGGUUGUCGUCAGCUCGUGUCGUGAGAUGUUGGGUUAAGUCCCGCAACGAGCGCAACCCUUAAGCUUAGUUGCCAUCAUUAAGUUGGGCACUCUAAGUUGACUGCCGGUGACAAACCGGAGGAAGGUGGGGAUGACGUCAAAUCAUCAUGCCCCUUAUGAUUUGGGCUACACACGUGCUACAAUGGACAAUACAAAGGGCAGCGAAACCGUGAGGUCAAGCAAAUCCCAUAAAGUUGUUCUCAGUUCGGAUUGUAGUCUGCAACUCGACUACAUGAAGUUGGAAUCGCUAGUAAUCGUAGAUCAGCAUGCUACGGUGAAUACGUUCCCGGGUCU
rnacentral:rRNA from 1 species